UCUCUAAUGAGAAAAAAGAUCUAGUACCU
rnacentral:piRNA from 1 species